rnacentral:rRNA from 1 species
UACAUGGGGUGCAAACGUUGCUCGGAAUUAUUGGGCGUAAAGCGCGCGUAGGCGGUUACUCAAGUCGGAUGUGAAAGCCCUCGGCUUAACUGAGGAAGUGCACCCGAAACUGAGUAGCUAGAGUACUAAAGAGGGUCGCGGAAUUCCCGGUGUAGCAGUGAAAUGCGUAGAUAUCGUGAGGAAGACCAGUGGCGAAGGCGGAUCUCUGGACAGUUCCUGACACUGAGGCACGAAGGCCAGGGGAGCAAACGGG